CAUACAUUAUACAGAUUAUAAAUGAGUCUAACAUGCUAUGGAGGGAAAAAACUCAUGUAGGCCUAGUUCAUACUAACAAAACUGCAGUCUGAAAACAAGUGGUUAAAGGGAUAUCCCUUGCCUCAAAUGUUUUCACUAUUUUUUCUCUAAAAUUAUGAGAGUAGUUGCCUAAGUUCUCCAGUUCUCUAUGUAUGUGUAGCUAUAGAUGAAAACUUGUUUGCUCUGGAAAUAAAAUGCUUUCUAAAGCAUUUGCUAAUGCUUUCUAAAUGAAGGUCAAGAAAAGAAAGAAAAAUAGUAUGUUUUGUUGGAGGAAAGUUUCAAGUUUAAUUAAAUUAUAGAACAUCAUGAUUCAAAGGAACUUCAGGGAUUGUCUGAUAGAAGUCUUCAUUGAAUUAUCAAAUCCUGGCCCAAGUGGACAUCAGCUGCUACUUGGAUCUUCUAAUGACAAGAAGUGCAAGAGAGAGUAUCUCAUUUGUUUCCUGAAAGUUCUGAUUGUUUAAACUUCUAAGUACAAUCUGCCUCCUGAACAUUCCAUUGUAGUUCUUUGAUCUGGAGCCGCACAAAAGCCUCCUCUUUUACAUGUCAGCUUUACACACCACCCUCAGCCUGGAGGAUAAUUAAAGUUGCUUGGAAUUUGCCACUCAAGGAAUCGUAUCCUACCUGAAUGAUAAUAUCCCACUAGGAGAAAAUCAGGGCAAGCUCAUGGUCAGUGCCAAUAAACCUUUCAGAAGUUAUGGACCAAAUGUCCAAAUUCCUAUGUUGAAGCCCUAAUCCUGAAUGUGAAGGUAGUUGGAAGUAAUUAGGUUUAGAUGAGGUCACAAGGAUGGGGCCCCCAUGAUGGGAUUAAUGUCCUUUGAAGAAGAGGAAGGCACCAGAGUUCUCUCUCUCUUUCUGCCAUGCCAGGUCACAACUAGAUGUGGCAGUCUGCACGCCAGGAGGUGGGCCCCUACCAAGAAUUCAGCCAUACUGAUACCCUCAUCAUGUGCUACCCAGCCUCCAUAACUGUUGAUCUGCCAUUUAUGCAAUCCAUUGAUCUACAGACAAGAAUUAAUUUCGAACUCAACAACUUCUGUCAAAAGUGCUACAGUAGUAACAAUGGUGGAAGCUAAGCACAUGAUUAUACUACUGUCUUCCAAGCUAAGUGCUGAGUCCAAGGCCAAGAGCACUGAUAUUUGAGACAAAAGUGCUUACAUUGUGAAUAAUGACUUAUUGACUGAUAUUAAGUUUCCCCAUACUGCUGCUGCCCUGUUUUUG